rnacentral:rRNA from 1 species
AUUGAACGCUGGCGGCAGGCCUAACACAUGCAAGUCGAACGGUAGCACAGAGAGCUUGCUCUCGGGUGACGAGUGGCGGACGGGUGAGUAACGUCUGGGAAACUGCCCGAUGGAGGGGGAUAACUACUGGAAACGGUAGCUAAUACCGCAUAACGUCGCGAGACCAAAGUGGGGGACCUUCGGGCCUCACACCAUCGGAUGUGCCCAGAUGGGAUUAGCUAGUAGGUGGGGUAAUGGCUCACCUAGGCGACGAUCCCUAGCUGGUCUGAGAGGAUGACCAGCCACACUGGAACGGAGACACGGUCCAGACUCCUACGGGAGGCAGCGGUGGGGAAUAUUGCACAAUGGGCGCAAGCCUGAUGCAGCCAUGCCGCGUGUAUGAAGAAGGCCUUCGGGUUGUAAAGUACUUUCAGCGGGGAGGAAGGCGGUGGAGUUAAUAACUUCACCGAUUGACGUUACCCGCAGAAGAAGCACCGGCUAACUCCGUGCCAGCAGCCGCCGUAA